rnacentral:rRNA from 1 species
GACGAACGCUGGCGGCGUGCCUAAUACAUGCAAGUCGAGCGAACCAAUAAGAAGCUUGCUUUUUGUUGGUUAGCGGCGGACGGGUGAGUAACACGUGGGUAACCUGCCUGUAAGACCGGGAUAACUCCGGGAAACCGGUGCUAAUACCGGAUAGAUUAUCUUUCCGCAUGGAGAGAUAAGGAAAGAUGGCUAUUGCCAUCACUUACAGAUGGGCCCGCGGCGCCGUAGCUAGUUGGUGAGGUAACGGCUCACCAAGGCGACGAUGCGUAGCCGACCUGAGAGGGUGAUCGGCCACACUGGGACUGAGACACGGCCCAGACUCCUACGGGAGGCAGCAGUAGGGAAUCUUCCGCAAUGGACGAAAGUCUGACGGAGCAACGCCGCGUGAGCGAAGAAGGUCUUCGGAUCGUAAAGCUCUGUUGUUAGGGAAGAACAAGUAUCGGAGGAAAUGCCGGUACCUUGACGGUACCUGACGAGAAAGCCACGGCUAACUACGUG